GACGAACGCUGGCGGCGUGCUUAACACAUGCAAGUCGAACGCUGAACCCGCUUCGGUGGGGGAUGAGUGGCGAACGGGUGAGUAGCACGUGGGCAACCUGCCCCCGGCUCUGGGAUAACUCCAAGAAAUUGGGGCUAAUACCGGAUGUGACCGCUGGCCGCAUGGUCUGGUGGUGGAAAGGGUUUCCGGCUGGGGAUGGGCCCGCGGCCUAUCAGUUUGUUGGUGGGGUAGUGGCCUACCAAGGCGACGACGGGUAGCCGGCCUGAGAGGGUGACCGGCCACACUGGGACUGAGACACGGCCCAGACUCCUACGGGAGGCAGCAGUGGGGAAUAUUGCGCAAUGGGCGGAAGCCUGACGCAGCGACGCCGCGUGGGGGAUGACGGCCUUCGGGUUGUAAACCUCUUUCAGCAGGGACGAAGCGCAAGUGACGGUACCUGCAGAAGAAGCACCGGCCAACUACGUG
rnacentral:rRNA from 1 species